rnacentral:rRNA from 1 species
AUUGAACGCUGGCGGCAGGCUUAACACAUGCAAGUCGAGCGGAGAUGAGGUGCUUGCACCUUAUCUUAGCGGCGGACGGGUGAGUAAUGCUUAGGAAUCUGCCUAAUAGUGGGGGACAACAUUCCGAAAGGAAUGCUAAUACCGCAUACGUCCUACGGGAGAAAGCAGGGGAUCUUCGGACCUUGCGCUAAUAGAUGAGCCUAAGUCGAAUUAGCUAGUUGGUGGGGUAAAGGCCUACCAAGGCGACGAUCUGUAGCGGGUCUGAGAGGAUGAUCCGCCACACUGGGACUGAGACACGGCCCAGACUCCUACGGGAGGCAGCAGUGGGGAAUAUUGGACAAUGGGGGGAACCCUGAUCCAGCCAUGCCGCGUGUGUGAAGAAGGCCUUAUGGUUGUAAAGCACUUUAAGCGAGGAGGAGGCUACUGAGACUAAUACUCUUGGAUAGUGGGCGUUACUCGCAGAAUAAGCACCGGCUAACUCUGUGCCAGCCGCCGCCGUAAUAC